ACCCCAUGAGACACCUUCACUUGUUCCUCAGAAAAUCAGAUCAAAGCUCUAUCUCCUUCACUGAGUUUGAGCUGUCAGUGAGAAGGUAGAAGAUGAGAAGAUGGCUAGCUUCAGUUCUCUUUUGGUGCACAGAUACUCCAGUACUAUUGAAGUGUACGUCAUCAUCUGGCGUUGAGCCCUCCAUAUAUAUAACUCUACAGAAGUCUAAAGAAAGCAAGGUGAUCUUUUAGUAUUGCAAAGCCAGCAUAUGAUCAACAAAAGUCAUUUGAUUCAGUGAAGCGAACGCAGUCUAGUUUGUGUUCAGUGAACUCUAUCUCGAUAAAAUGUUGAGAGAUUGAUUGAUUUAUGGAUUUUCUUUCUGAAGUGUUUCUUCAAAAAUGUGUUCAUGCUUGUAUUUGGUGCUUUCAGAAUUGGAGUUAGGAGUUGGAAGAAAUUUUUAACAUCAAACAGCUUCAUUUGUAUAUUAUUUUUCUAUUUUCCUCCCCACCCCUUAAUUUAAAGAUUAUUCUUUAUUUUAUUUUCACCUAAUCCAUGUAUGCCUCAGCUGAGCUACUAUAUAUAGUGCAAUACUUGACCAUUUCUCUUUCUAA